rnacentral:rRNA from 1 species
GAUGAACGCUGGCGGCGUGCCUAAUACAUGCAAGUCGAGCGAACGGACGAGCAGCUUGCUUCUCUGAUGUUAGCGGCGGACGGGUGAGUAACACGUGGAUAACCUACCUAUAAGACUGGGAUAACUUCGGGAAACCGUAGCUAAUACCGGAUAAUAUUUUGAACCGCAUGGUUCAAAAGCGAAAGACGGUCUUGCUGUCGCUUAUAGAUGGAUCCGCGCUGCAUUAGCUAGUUGGUAAGGUAACGGCUUACCAAGGCAACGAUGCAUAGCCGACCUGAGAGGGUGAUCGGCCACACUGGAACUGAGACACGGUCCAGACUCCUACGGGAGGCAGCAGUAGGGAAUCUUCCGCAAUGGGCGAAAGCCUGACGGAGCAACGCCGCGUGAGUGAUGAAGGUCUUCGGAUCGUAAAACUCUGUUAGUAGGGAAGAACAUAUGUGUAAGUAACUGUGCACAUCUUGACGGUACCUAAUCAGAAAGCCACGGCUAACUACGUG